CCUACGGGAUGUAGCAGUAGGGAAUAUUGCUCAAUGGGGGAAACCCUGAAGCAGCAACGCCGCGUGGAGGAUGAAGGUUUUAGGAUUGUAAACUCCUUUUGUUAGAGAAGAUUAUGACGGUAUCUAACGAAUUAGCACCGGCUAACUCCGUGCCAGCAGCCGCGGUCAUACGGCGGGUGCAAGCGUUACUCGGAAUCACUGGGCUUAAAGAGUGCGUAGGCGGGUUAAUAAGUCAGAUGUGAAAUCCUGUAGCUUAACUACAGAACUGCAUUUGAAACUGUUACUCUGGAGUGUUGGAGAGGUAGGUGGAAUUCUUGGUGUAGGGGUAAAAUGCGUAGAGAUCAAGAGGAAUACUGAUUGCGAAGGCGACCUGCUGGAACAUUACUGACGCUGAUGCACGAAAGCGUGGGGAGCAAACAGGAUUAGAUACCCCAGUAGUC
rnacentral:rRNA from 1 species